CGAUGGACGGUUCACGUCUUCGGUGAUUCGAUUGUUCGCGGGCUUGAUGUGUAUCUCGACGAAGAACUUUUUGACUUUCAAGUUACUUGCUUACUCGGAGCGAAAAUCAAGACUGUUAACAAUCACAUAGAGAAACUGAAUCCUGCGAAUGAUAAAAGCGGAGUUGAUGCUGUUUUGAUACAUAUUGGAACGAACAACUUGUGCUCCAGUGUGUGGAAUAUAGACAAACAUUCUUUCUUUGAAUUGUAUACCUGCAUACGUCGUCAAGACCCUUGUGCAAUUGUCGUUUUUUCUGGAAUCAUUCCGAGGUGGGACUCUCAACUGUAUGAUCACUCUGUAUUUAACAAUCUUCAACUUGGAUCUCUAUGUGCAAAAUUACCUUUGUGCAAAUACAUUGAAGUGAGUCAGCCAAACCAUGAACUCUUAAUUGACGAUAGAUGUUUUGUACAAGACGGACUGCACCUUAAUUCCUAUGGAAAAGGAGUCUUUGGAAACGGAAUUUCCGUAAAACUAAGGAAGUGCUUGUCACCAGGGAGCAGAUGUAGAUAUAUUCCACCAGAGUUGCUAAUACUUCACCCUCCCAAAAAGGACAAAGGAAAAAACAAAGAAAACCUACCAGCCAACACUUGCCAAAUCCAUCACUUGCCAAAUACAAACUCAAGAACCAUGUAAGAAUGAAUCCACAAAGAACAGCAGCGAACAUGCAAGCCUGGGACAAUCUUGCCGCAGCCAGUGUGCUGAUCACCAGCCUCAACAGAAAGAACCAUGUCAGAAGAAAUCUGCAAAAAUGAACAGGAAGAGGAACUUUGACAAUGCUUGCUCUAGCUCUUGCCAUACCCAGUCGCACUCUGCUGUCACCCUCCUCGACAGAAAGUCCACAACAUCUGCAGCUCUCACCAACGCUAGAUAUCCCAAGACCAAGGUCAUCUUACAUUACCAAGAAAUUACGGAGGAAAGCGUA